ACAGGAAGUGCGCUGAAAGCUCCAACAAAACAAAAACAAGUCACAAAAUAACGUUUCCGAAUCAUAUCGACUCUCAAAAUGGACAAUCAGAAUAUGAAACCGGAGGCCAACGACUCUCGCUGCGUACAUUCAGGGGACUACGGAUGUGUGGUGAUUAUAACAGUCAAACGAGCCACUGCAACCUUUUCCCUGGUGGGAUGCACCUUCAUGCUGCUUGUCAUCUGGCUGCUGCGCCGGUAUCACUCUCUGGCCCAGAAGAUGAUUCUCUGCUUAACUGUAUCUGCCUUCUUUGACAGCGUAGCAUAUGUCAUGGCCGAGUCCCACCCAGAGGGAUCUCUUUGUGACUUCCAGGCCUGGUGGCUCACGUACUUCGACUGGAGUGCCUUAGCCUGGGUUUGUCUCAUCACACUUAAUCUGUACUUGAACCUGCUGAAAGAAACCAGCACCAACAGAUAUGAGAUGUUGUACCACCUGCUGGCAUGGGGCGUUCCUCUCAUCAUGGCCUCCUUACCGCUGCUGAAGGGAUACUACGGCCCUGCGGGAGCCUGGUGCUGGAUCACAGACGAUCACGUAGCCUGGAGAUUUGGGAUAUGGUACGUGCCUCUGUUCAGCCUCAUCUUCCUGAUGAUGUGCUGCUACGCCAGGAUCAUCUAUGUGGCCAACGACAGGAUGCAGUCGUGGUCGGGAACCUUCAACCCAGAGAGAGAGAGACGAAAGGUUUCCUUGGCAAAGGAGAUCAAGCCGCUGAAGUGGUACCCGUCAGUUUACCUGCUGGUGUCUAUCUUCCCGCUCAUCAACAGGCUCCAUAAUACCGUCUACCCUCAGGAGCCAUCCUUCACUCUCACCUUGUUGCACGUCCUGUCGGCGCCGCUGCACGGCUUGGCCAACGCAUUCGUCUUUGGCCUGGACAGAGACUGGUGGAGUUUACUGAGCCCGACUGGCUUGCAGGUACAACACUCGCUUCCAAAUCACAUUCCAAAAAAGACCACGAACCGGACCCGGCACCAUCAUAAAGCUCUCAACCUUGGUGGCUAUUUUGGGGAAACACAAGAUGACGUGACAUGCCAGUUUCCCGACGAAGCGCAAAAACUUUGAACCAACUGUGUCCAGUCUGUUUAAGCAAGUCAAAUAUGCAGUUCAGAAGCUGGACAGAAAGAAACAAAAAAAGGCUCAUAAAGAAUGAUCUAUUCAAGUUUCCAGCCCUUGUAAAAGUAGUUUCAUCAAGCAUAAUGACAUUUGCUGACAGUUUAUUGACUUGGAUGAUGGAGAGUGACUUCACAACUCCCCAGCGCUGUCAAAGAACCAGAAGCUUAGCAGUCGUACAUAAAGCAUUUUAGACAGAUGAGGAGUGAUGCAACAAUAAAAAGUUACACUGGAGAGUCAUGUUGUCAAACACAGCUGGCAUUUAGGGUUCAAUCACUUCCUCAGAGCAUUGUGCAGGUGUGAGGGUCCAGUCCUUCCUCUCCCCAGUGUGUGUUCUUGUGGGGGUAUACCUUGGAAUUCCCCGGUCAAGAGACGGGCUUCCUCCAAGUUUGAUAUGCCGAGACAAUCCUGACUAGAUGACGGGCCAACUCCACUGAAGUCUUUCUUUAUGCAGCAGUUCUAUUACAAGCCUGUUCCAGAUCUCUAGGAAUCUAGACACCCUCAUUAUGGGAUCCGGAUCUUACCCUAGAUCCUCACUCUAUGUCGCUACGGAACUGAGAGCUUUAUCUUUUAGCUCAGCUCUGUCUUCUCAAGGACAGUCUGUUUAGGAGUCCUCUUCAAUGUGGAGAAUUAUUACGAUGAUCAUCGGCAUCACGACGUUGAUUUUCUCUUCCAACAUAGUGCCACUCUGUCAGGUGAGUGGCAGAGACAACAGUCAAGCCAAACUGGACACGGGUUCCUCUGCUCAGAUGCCCUCCUUGGGGGAAUAACCCACAGCAUUCGCAGGACAAGAAGACAUACAAACAAAUAAUCUCUCAACGUUGCACCUGAGACUGAUACUGGCAAGUGGCUUCUCUUAAAUUAGAGGUGGACUUGUUCCCAGCGCUUCCUAUCUCUACUGAUCCAGACACCCUCAUUACAGCAUCUUGCCUCUGAGAUCCUGUACUCUCCCUCUCUACCCUGAGCUUGUGACCAUAAUGAGAGGGGAGAGCUUUAUCUUCUAGCUCAGCUUGUUCUUCUCGUCCUCAUCAUAAAUUCACCACCUGAAGAUUAUCUUCAGCCCUGCUCCUUCACUUUUGGCCAGCUGGACCACACUGUCCUCCAAUCUGCGUCUACCAAAUUCUAUCAGAAUUAUGAGUCGCGCUGGUUACGGCGGUCAGCACUGCCUGACUCUCCAUUCUCACUGGAAAAGGCUUGUAGUCAGAUCGUGGAGCCGACACCAGUCGUGAAAGGACCCCUGUUAACGAGUUUGAUACAUCAAAAUUCUGAAGCACCUCCAACGGAAUACCCCCAGGAACACUGUCAAAUGCCUUCUCAAGCUCCACUGAACAGUGAACUGGCAGACAUGAGUGGUGGUCCGUCUGUUUAUAGGCGGGGGCAGUGCUGUAGGGUCUGUCCGGUAGUUAAACCUUGGUUCAAGUGGCGCAGCGUAGCUGUGGUCCUGGCCACCUCUUCAGACGUGCCGCUCUUAGCCCGUCUGGAACCGCGGUUCCUCUAAGAAUAUAUACAUUUCUGAGUGAGUUUCGCUUUCAUUUGACAUUUUUGGGAAGCGUGUCGAUAACAAGAUCACCAGAAGCAAAGAGGUUCAAUUUCACUAAACACAAGGAUCAAUAUUGUUCCCCACAGAUUCGUCUCUAUCAACAGAUAUUGACAGCGUUUGCAGAUAUGAGUUGGGCUUGAUAUUGAGCGACAAGACAGAAGGGAAAAUCCAGUGCGGACGCUGCACGCCGACGCACACCGUGAGCCGACUCGCUAUCAUCAAGCAGAUAAGCGGUCAUGUGUCCUAUGCAGAAGAGUGCUGGCUCUGCGGUCGCGACUGUGUGACAGGACACGGAUUGGAGAGUACCACCCUGGGACGGUGCGCUACACACAGGCUGACCUGGUCGACCUCAGCGAUGACGACGACGAUGACACC